AGAAAUUGUAUACUAGACUAGUUCGAAGUCUAUUUGCUAGUCUAGUGUACAGUUCAUGG
rnacentral:pre_miRNA from 1 species